GCGCCAGGAGCAGAGACCCGUGAUUGAGCUCUUCCCUGUUGAUUAAAAGGGGAGUGCGGACCAAGGUCAAAACUUGGAGCUGGAUAUACUGAUAUCAGGUGUGGACCCAAAGGAACCACUCCACGUGCCUCUUCUUGAACGGUCUUGCAACAGACUGAUUUCACCUUAUAUAUUUGUUCAUCGAUUAUUUGUAGGAUUGAGAAUAAUCUCUGGGUAAUUUCCCUUAUAGCAGAAAAUGAGUGGAGAGAAUGAAUGACCAAGGUAAAGAAACUGAUGAUGAGGGAGAUUAAAUAAUGUGCUCAAGGACAUACAAGGUACACGGCAGAGCUGGGAUUUCCUUCAGCCGUCAAACUUUAUGUCCUAAGCCUUAAUCAUUAUGUUCCUGGAUAUCCAGUACUUCACAACACAGAAACUAACCCUGGUAGGAAAAGGAUAAGCUCUCAAGGAAGACAAGACCUGGGCCAAGGAAGACUGAGGGGAGAUGGCAACACACAGAGAAACGACAGCUGCAG